rnacentral:rRNA from 1 species
ACACAUGCAGUCGAGCGGAUGAAGGGAGCUUGCUCCUGGAUUCAGCGGCGGACGGGUGAGUAAUGCCUAGGAAUCUGCCUGGUAGUGGGGGAUAACGUUCCGAAAGGAACGCUAAUACCGCGUACGUCCUACGGGAGAAAGCAGGGGACCUUCGGGCCUUGCGCUAUCAGAUGAGCCUAGGUCGGAUUAGCUAGUUGGUGAGGUAAUGGCUCACCAAGGCGACGAUCCGUAACUGGUCUGAGAGGAUGAUCAGUCACACUGGAACUGAGACACGGUCCAGACUCCUACGGGAGGCAGCAGUGGGGAAUAUUGGACAAUGGGCGAAAGCCUGAUCCAGCCAUGCCGCGUGUGUGAAGAAGGUCUUCGGAUUGUAAAGCACUUUAAGUUGGGAGGAAGGGCUGUAGGCUAAUAUCCUGCGGUUUUGACGUUACCAACAGAAUAAGCACCGGCUAACUUCGUGCCAGCAGCCGCGGUAAUACGAAGGGUGCAAGCGUUAAUCGGAAUUACUGGGCGUAAAGCGCGCGUAGGUGGUUCGUUAAGUUGGAUGUGAAAGCCCCGGGCUCAACCUGGGAACUGCAUCCAAAACUGGCGAGCUAGAGUACGGUAGAGGGUAGUGGAAUUUCCUGUGUAGCGGUGAAAUGCGUAGAUAUAGGAAGGAACACCAGUGGCGAAGGCGACUACCUGGACUGAUACUGACACUGAGGUGCGAAAGCGUGGGGAGCAAACAGGAUUAGAUACCCUGGUAGUCCACGCCGUAAACGAUGUCAACUAGCCGUUGGAAUCCUUGAGAUUUUAGUGGC